UCCACGCCCUAAACGAUGUAUGCUUGGUGUUGGGAAGCAAUUCUCAGUGCCGGAGGUAACCCGUUAAGCAUACCACCUGGGGAGUACGAUCGCAAGGUUGAAACUCAAAGGAAUUGACGGGGGCCCGCACAAGCGGUGGAUCAUGUGGUUUAACUCGAUGCAACGCGAAGAACCUUACCUGGGCUUGAAGUGUAGCGGACAGUAUCUGAAAGGGUACCUUCCUUCGGGACCGCUAUAGAGGUGCUGCAUGGCUGUCGUCAGCUCGUGCCGUGAGGUGUUGGGUUAAGUCCCG
rnacentral:rRNA from 1 species